AUAGGUUUGGUCCCAGCCUUCCUGUUAACUUUCAAUAGACUUAUACAUGCAAGCAUCCACGCCCCGGUGAGUAACGCCCUUCGAAUCACACAGGACCAAAAGGAGCAGGUAUCAAGCACACACUCUUGUAGCUCACAACGCCUUGCUUAACCACACCCCCACGGGAGACAGCAGUAACAAAAAUUAAGCCAUAAACGAAAGUUUGACUAAGCCAUAUUGACCAGGGUUGGUAAAUCUCGUGCCAGCCACCGCGGUCAUACGAUUGACCCAAGCUAACAGGAGUACGGCGUAAAGCGUGUUAAAGCAUCAUACUAAAUAGAGUUAAAUUUUAAUUAAACUGUAAAAAGCCAUAAUUAUAACAAAAAUAAAUGACGAAAGUAACCCUACAAUAGCUGAUACACCAUAGCUAAGACCCAAACUGGGAUUAGAUACCCCACUAUGCUUAGCCCUAAACACAAAUAAUUAU
rnacentral:rRNA from 1 species